rnacentral:lncRNA from 1 species
ACAUUAAGUCUUUUGUAGUGGCUUGUGCAUAGUUGCCUCCUCUUGCCAUGAGUAUAUAGGCUAUAACAUAUAUGGCUAAUCUUUCAUCUUUCUUCAUUCCACCUGUCUUGUAAUUAAGGUAGUCUCUGCAGUCAUUUGCAUUUCUCAAACAGUUCUGGUAUUCAUUAAACUUGUGAAAACCAUUUAUUCCUAGAUGACAUUUUUCUCCACCGAUCUUUAACCCACCAAUAACACUCCAAACUUCAUUAGUUAGUUUAAUACCAACCCCCUUUACACGAGAACAGAGAACAUCAUCUUCAAUCUUCAAAUUACAAUAGAAAACUUUCACCAAAUCUGGAUACCAAGGGCUAGCCAUUUCAACAAAUUUCUUUA